GUAUGUGACAAGAGCAAGGGAGCAAAGAAAUAGGAGGAGCAGCAGCAGAAAUUGGGGCGCAGUCGUCGACCAAAAUAUAAAAUUGAUAACUGUCAGAAACACUGUCUUUUGAGAAAAGAAAACUGAGGGGCAUCUCAGAAAACCACAGUUGGUUGGCGGCAAUUUAUUCAAAGUUUUCAUCCACUCAAGUUGAUUUUUAUUCCUCCAUAGGCGGACUUUUUAUUUGACAUCUUUAUUUUACGAGAGGAGUUCAGCGGUCAUCUUGAAAUGAAUGCAAAAGACGAAGACGUGUUCAUCACCAUUGACAGUAUUCUAGAUAUCCAAACAACGGGGGCGCCCAGGGUGAUGGGAAACAAGGCUACGACAGCUGGCUGGCAGCCUGAACCUGAGACCAUUCC